rnacentral:rRNA from 1 species
ACAGAGGGUGCGAGCGUUGUUCGGAAUUACUGGGCGUAAAGCGCGCGCAGGCGGCCUUUUAAGUCUGACGGUGAAAUGCCGGGGCUCAACCCCGUGCCCGCCGCGGAUACUGGGAGGCUGGAGACAUGUAGAGGCAAGCGGAAUUCCGGGUGUAGCGGUGGAAUGCGUAGAGAUCCGGAAGAACACCGGAGGCGAAGGCGGCUUGCUGGGCAUUGUCUGACGCUGAGGCGCGAAAGCGUGGGGAGCGAACAGGA